rnacentral:rRNA from 1 species
AGGUCAAGCUAUAAAGGGCGCAGGGCGAAUGCCUUGGCACCAGGAGCCGACGAAGGACGUGGCAAGCUGCGAAAAGAUACGGGGAGCCGCAAGCAGGCAUUGAUCCGUAUAUGUCCGAAUGGAGCAAUCCGGCCGGAGUAAUUUCCGGUCAUCAUACAGUGAAUCCAUAGCUGUAUGAGGGGAACCCCCUGAACUGAAACAUCUAAGUAGGGGGAGGAAGAGAAAUCAACCGAGAUUCCGCUAGUAGUGGCGAGCGAACGCGGAAGAGGCCAAACCAAAGGUAGAAAUACCAUUGGGGUUGUGGACUGCAUUUAGCAUUGACGAGACUUAGCCGAACUGCAUGGGAAGGCAGCCCGGAGGGCGUGAGAGGCGCGUAGGCGAAAAGUCGAGUCAGCGAGCAGGAUCCAGAGUACCGCGGGACACGAGGAAUCCCGUGGGAAGCCGGGGGGACCACCCUCCAAGCCUAAAUACUCCCUGGUGACCGAUAGCGUAUAGUACUGUGAAGGAAAGGUGAAAAGGACCCCGGGAGGGGAGUGAAAAAGAACCUGAAACCCUGUGCCUACAAGCACCUAGAGCACGUCAAUGUGUGAUAGGGUACUUUUUGUAGAACGGUCCGGCGAGCGUAUGUAACGAGCAAGGUUAAGGACUUAAGGUCUGAAGCCGAAGGGAAACCGAGUCUGAAUAGGGCGUCCAGUUUGUUGCAUUCGGCCCGAAACCGGGUGACCUAUCCAUGUCCAGGCUGAAGUGGAGGUAAAACUCCAUGGAGGGCCGAACCGACCUCCGUUGAAAAGGCGGCGGAUGAGGUGUGGAUAGCGGAGAAAUUCCAAUCGAACCCGGAUAUAGCUGGUUCUCCCCGAAAUAGCUUUAGGGCUAGCGUUGUGUAUGAUUACUGGAGGUAAAGCACUGAAUGGGCUAGGGGCCGAGAGGUUACCGAACCCUAUCAAACUCUGAAUGCCAGAUAAUCUUAGCACAGCAGUCAGACAGUGUGAGAUAAGUCUCAUUGUCGAAAGGGAAACAGCCCAGACCCACAGCUAAGGUCCCAAAGUCAGUUUAAGUGGAAAAGGAUGUGGAGCUGCUAAGACAACCAGGAUGUUGGCUUAGAAGCAGCCACUCAUUAAAAGAGUGCGUAAUAGCUCACUGGUCGAGUGGCUCUGCGCCGAAAAUGUAACGGGGCUAAAACUGACACCGAAGCUUGGGCUUCAUGCGAAAGCAUGAGGGGUAGGGGAGCGUCGUAUAUGGAGAGAAGUCGUAGCGAAAGCGGCGGUGGACUGUAUACGAGUGAGAAUGCCGGAAUGAGUAGCGCGAAUUAUGUGAGAAUCAUAAUGGCCGAAAGCCUAAGGUUUUAGGAGGAAGGUUCGUCCGCUCCUAGUUAGCCGGGAGCUAAGGUGAGGCCGAAAGGCGUAGCCGAUGCACAUACGGUAGAAAUUCCGUAGCCGCCAAAAGAUUUAAGUAAAGGGACACUGUCAAAGUGAGCAAUCCGGGCGUUGGUAGACCCGGUCGAAAGGGACUGAAGAUUAGUAGGGAAGUGCUCAUAGCGACAGGCGAGAAAAGCUUUAUGAAUAUCAGAGGCGCCCGUACCGCAAACCGACACAGGUAGGUAGGAAGAGAAUUCUAAGGCCAACGGGAGAAGGGUUGUUAAGGAACUCGGCAUAUUGACCCCGUAACUUCGGAAGAAGGGGUGCUCAUAGAAAUAUGAGCCGCAGAGAAUAGGUCCAGGCGACUGUUUAGCAAAAACACAGGUCUCUGCUAAAUCGAAAGAUGACGUAUAGGGGCUGACACCUGCCCGGUGCUGGAAGGUUAAGAGGAGAUGUGCAAGCAUUGAAUUGAAGCCCCAGUAAACGGCGGCCGUAACUAUAACGGUCCUAAGGUAGCGAAAUUCCUUGUCGGGUAAGUUCCGACCCGCACGAAUGGUGUAACGAUCUGGACGCUGUCUCAACAACCCGCCCGGCGAAAUUGUAGUACCGGUGAAGAUGCCGGUUACCCGCGACAAGACGGAAAGACCCCAUGGAGCUUUACUGUAGCUUAAUAUUGGAUUUCGGUAUUUCAUGUACAGGAUAGGUGGGAGGCUAAGAAGCAGGCACGCCAGUGUCUGUGGAGCCGACGUUGGGAUACCACUCUUGAGGUGCUGGAAUUCUAACCUGCGGCCGUGAAUCCGGUCGGGGGACAUUGUUAGGUGGGCAGUUUGACUGGGGCGGUCGCCUCCAAAAGAGUAACGGAGGCGCUCAAAGGUUGGCUCAGCACGGACGGAAACCGUGCUUUUGAGUGUAAACGCGUAAGCCAGCCUAACUGCGAGACCGACGGGUCGAGCAGUAACGAAAGUUGGAGUUAGUGAUCCGGUGGUAUGUGAGUGGAAAUGCCAUCGCUCAACGGAUAAAAGCUACCCUGGGGAUAACAGGCUGAUCUCCCCCAAGAGUCCACAUCGUCGGGGAGGUUUGGCACCUCGAUGUCGGCUCAUCACAUCCUGGGGCUGUAUUCGGUCCCAAGGGUUCGGCUGUUCGCCGAUUAAAGUGGUACGCGAGCUGGGUUCAGAACGUCGUGAGACAGUUCGGUCCCUAUCUGUCGUGGGCGCAGGAUAUUUGAGAGGAGCUGUCCCUAGUACGAGAGGACCGGGAUGGACGCACCUCUGGUGCACCAGUUGUUCCGCCAGGAGCACAGCUGGGCAGCUAUGUGCGGAAUGGAUAAACGCUGAAGGCAUCUAAGCGUGAAGCCAACCUCAAGAUAAGAUAUCCCACUGAGUCAAUCAGGUAAGACCCCUUGAAGACUACAAGGUAGAUAGGCCUCAGGUGUAAGUGCGGUGACGUAUUUAGCCAGGAGGUACUAAUCGGUCGAGGGCUUGUCCUAA